UUCCAGACUCCUACGGGAGGCAGCAGUGGGGAAUAUUGCACAAUGGGGGAAACCCUGAUGCAGCAACGCCGCGUGGGUGAAGGAGCGUUUCGGCGCGUAAAGCCCUGUCAGCGGGGAAGAAGAAAGACGGUACCCGACCAAGAAGCCCCGGCUAACUACGUGCCAGCAGCCGCGGUAAUACGUAGGGGGCAAGCGUUAUCCGGAUUUACUGGGUGUAAAGGGAGCGUAGACGGCAGCACAAGUCUGGAGUGAAAUCCCGGGGCUUAACCCCGGAACUGCUUUGGAAACUGUGCGGCUGGAGUGCAGGAGGGGUAAGCGGAAUUCCUAGUGUAGCGGUGAAAUGCGUAGAUAUUAGGAGGAACACCGGUGGCGAAGGCGGCUUACUGGACUGUAACUGACGUUGAGGCUCGAAAGCGUGGGGAGCAAACAGGAUUAGAUACCCCAGUAC
rnacentral:rRNA from 1 species